rnacentral:rRNA from 1 species
AAGCGGUGGAGCAUGUGGUUUAAUUCGAUGAUACGCGAGGACCUUACCUGGGCUCGAACGUAAGAUGACUGUAGGUGAAAGCUUACAUCUCUUCGGAGCAUUUUACGAGGUGCUGCAUGGUUGUCGUCAGCUCGUGCCGUGAGGUGUCGGGUUAAGUCCCAUAACGAGCGCAACCCUACCUUUAGUUGCCAUCAGGUAAUGCUGGGGACUCUAAAGGAACUGCCUACGCAAGUAGUGAGGAAGGCGGGGAUGACGUCAAAUCAGCACGGCCCUUACGUCCAGGGCUACACACGUGCUACAAUGGCCGAUACAGAGGGCAGCUACCUGGUGACAGGAUGCAAAUCUCCAAAGUCGGUCUCAGUUCGGAUCGGAGUCUGCAACCCGACUCCGUGAAGUUGGAUUCGCUAGUAAUCGCGCAUCAGCCAUGGCGCGGUGAAUACGUUCCCGGGCCUU